UACGUAGGGGGCGAGCGUUGUCCGGAAUUACUGGGCGUAAAGAGCUCGUAGGUGGUUUGUCGCGUUGUUCGUGAAAACUCACAGCUCAACUGUGGGCGUGCGGGCGAUACGGGCAGACUUGAGUACUGCAGGGGAGACUGGAAUUCCGGGUGUAGCGGUGGAAUGCGUAGAGAUCCGGAGGAAGACCGGUGGCGAAGGCGGUCUGCUGGGCAGUUUCUGACACUGAUGCGCGACAGCGUGGGGAGCAAACAGG
rnacentral:rRNA from 1 species